rnacentral:rRNA from 1 species
AUUGAACGCUGGCGGCAGGCCUAACACAUGCAAGUCGAACGGUAACAGGAAGAAGCUUGCUUCUUUGCUGACGAGUGGCGGACGGGUGAGUAAUGUCUGGGAAACUGCCUGAUGGAGGGGGAUAACUACUGGAAACGGUAGCUAAUACCGCAUAACGUCGCAAGACCAAAAAGGGGGACCUUCGGGCCUCUUGCCAUCGGAUGUGCCCAGAUGGGAUUAGCUAGUAGGUGGGGUAACGGCUCACCUAGGCGACGAUCCCUAGCUGGCCUGAGAGGAUGACCAGCCACACUGGAACUGAGACACGGUCCAGACUCCUACGGGAGGCAGCAGUGGGGAAUAUUGCACAAUGGGCGCAAGCCUGAUGCAGCCAUGCCGCGUGUAUGAAGAAGGCCUUCGGGUUGUAAAGUACUUUCAGCGGGGAGGAAGGGAGUAAAGUUAAUACCUUUGCUCAUUGACGUUACCCGCAGAAGAAGCACCGGCUAACUCCGUG